AAUUUAUUUUAAAUCCUCCUGAAGAGUUAAGGGAUUAGGAAAUGAUGGAUUAUAGCAGUAAUGAUAGAUCAUGUUUAAUGUCUUGCAUAUUUUUCCACUACUGCAGGUUAAAUACUGACCAACCCUUACCUUAUAAAGCCUCAUUUAAACCUAAUACUCAAAGGUGCUCGGCCACGCGACAUGAGUUGGCUUGAAGAGGGGACCUUUCUUCUGUGGUCAGACUGAGCUGCAAUGAAGCAGAAUGAUAUUUCUGCAGCCAGUGCCUGGCACAGGCUGUGUCCAGCUUUUCGGUCAGCACCUUGGGAGCUGAGGCAGGGAAGGCUGUGCCUUUGCUUCAUGUGCUUGC
rnacentral:lncRNA from 1 species